UUAUUCAAACAACUUUGUUCUUUUCCUCGUAGUAUUAUCAGCAGAACAAAAAACCUAACGGCAUUAUGAAACCUACACCAAGAAAGAUUCGUAAAAAUCUUAGUUCUCCAACCCCAAUUACAAAAGUAGCCACAAUACUACAAUUUGCUCAAAUUUCUAAGAUCCAUAUUCUUCCCUUCUCGGUAAAUCUCUCUUCAAAGUUGAUAGCUGAGUAUGGCAGAUUGGACCGAUCUUCCAACGGACAUUUUGGUUGUUGUCGCACAAUGUUUAACUGUGACAGAGGAUUUUACUUCCUUUACCGCUGUUUGUAAAUCAUGGCAAUCAGUGACUUCAAUAUUGAAGAAGAAACCUUCAUUGCCUACUAGAUAUCCUCGGAUCAUGCUUGCUGAAAAAAUAGAUAUCGAAGAUCAAGAGAAUUGAGAUGAUCAAGAUGCAUCGAUUCGUUGCUUUCUAAACUUAUUAACGUCAAAGACAUAUCAACUCCAGUUGCCAGAAGCGAGUGGCAGGAUGUGCCCAGGAGCACAUUACGGAUGGUUGUGGACAAUUGGCAUUGAUUUACAAAUCAGUUUAUUGCACCCCUUCUCCAGACAACAAAUUUGCCUACCUUCUAUGCUGACCUUCCCUGAUCAGUAUGAAUAUAGUGAGAAAUUCAAGCCACAAGAGGUUUGGAAUUUAUAUGUUUGGAAAAUAGCGAUGUCCUCAAAUCCUCUUAAGGAGAAAAGUUUACAUGAUUAUAAUGAGGUUUGUAUUAUAGUUGCUAUUUAUGGAGGAUUUUGUAUAUUGGCUUUUACAAAAUUAGGAGAUACUGUUUGGACCAAUAUCUCCAUCCCUUCUCGCGUUUAUCAAGAUAUUAUUUUCUAGAAUGGUAAAUUUUAUGCUGUAGAUGCUCAUGGAGUUGUAGUUGUUUGUGAGUUUGAUGAUGCCAAUGGCACAAAAGCAACAGUCAAUGCCCCAGCUCCAAUUGAAACGAAUGACACAUAUCAGAAGUACCUAGUCGAAUCAUCAGGACAUCUUCUACUUGUUGCUCGUUUCCGAAAGGGGUUUCAUUUUAUGAUGACGACGACAACAAUGAUGUAGAGGAAGACGAUGUUGAUGUUGAUGGUAAUGAUAAUGAUAAUGUUGAUGAGGUGGAGGAUGUCAAAGAUAGUGGCAACGAAGAGGAAGAGGAAGCUAGAUACCAUACAACUGGCAUUUUUGUUUGGAGGCUAGAUGAAUGUCAUGAGGAAGGGAGUAAUUAUGCAUAUAGAUUAACUCGAGUGACUAGUUUAGGAGAUCAAGCAUUGUUCUUAGGUAGUAAUGUAUAUACAUCAAUUGCCUUGUCAGAAUGUAUCAAGCAAAAUUGCAUAUACUUUACAGAUGAUAAUGCUGACCUCUAUUUCGACGAACCAGGCGGUGGUGGCCAUGACACUGGAAUAUUUAACAUGGAAGAUGGAACCGUUCUUCAAUUAAAUUAUGCAAGAGAAUCUCGUAGUAAUAUUUCACCUCCAUUGUGGUACAUUUGAUUUUCAAGGAUUAAUUGCAUUUUUUGUUUUGUCA